rnacentral:rRNA from 1 species
UAGGGAAUAUUGGACAAUGGGGGCAACCCUGAUCCAGCCAUGCCGCGUGAGUGAAGAAGGCCCUCGGGUUGUAAAGCUCUUUUGUCCGGAAAGAAAAGCUUCGGGUUAAUACCCCGGGGUUCUGACGGUACCGGAAGAAUAAGCACCGGCUAACUUCGUGCCAGCAGCCGCGGUAAUACGAAGGGUGCAAGCGUUACUCGGAAUUACUGGGCGUAAAGCGUGCGUAGGUGGUUGUUUAAGUCUGAUGUGAAAGCCCUGGGCUCAACCUGGGAAUGGCAUUGGAAACUGGGCAGCUAGAGUGCGGUAGAGGGUAGUGGAAUUCCCGGUGUAGCAGUGAAAUGCGUAGGGAUCGGAAGGAACAUCUGUGGCGAAGGCGACUGCCUGGACCAGCACUGACACUGAGGCACGAAAGCGUGGGGAGCAAACA